rnacentral:misc_RNA from 1 species
CAAUCCUCCUCGCCCACACUUCGACCUUGCCAUGCCCAUGUUCCUCAAAAUCGCCGAGUACCGUGCCGGCAUUGUCCCCGUAGCCUACCGCCGGGUGCCAUGCCGGAAGGGAGGCGGAAUCCGGUUCACCAUCAACGGUUUCCGUUACUUCAAUUUGGUAUUGAUCUCCAACGUUGCGGGUGCAGGGGAUAUCGUAAAGGUUAGCGUGAAGGGUUCGAGGACUGGGUGGAUGAGCAUGAGUCGUAACUGGGGUCAAAACUGGCAGUCAAAUGCUGUU